GCUCAGAGUGAACGCUGGCGGCGUGCCUAAUACAUGCAAGUCGAACGAUGAAGCUUUUAGCUUGCUAGAAGUGGAUUAGUGGCGCACGGGUGAGUAAGGUAUAGUUAAUCUGCCCUACACAAGAGGACAACAGUUGGAAACGACUGCUAAUACUCUAUACUCCUGCUUAACACAAGUUGAGUAGGGAAAGUUUUUUCGGUGUAGGAUGAGACUAUAUAGUAUCAGCUAGUUGGUGAGGUAAUGGCUCACCAAGGCUAUGACGCUUAACUGGUCUGAGAGGAUGAUCAGUCACACUGGAACUGAGACACGGUCCAGACUCCUACGGGAGGCAGCAGUAGGGAAUAUUGCGCAAUGGGGGAAACCCUGACGCAGCAACGCCGCGUGGAGGAUGACA
rnacentral:rRNA from 1 species